CCAGUGUAUGCGGUUGCAGCUCAAUCGUCUUCCACUGCGAAUCCUCAAUCAACACAGCAGCAGUAGGGUGAAGCCUCUGGUUCAAGAGGUAGAUUCAGACGCCCAAUGGUUUGCUACAAUUGCUGGGAGCCAAGUCACAUCUCCCCAGAUUGUCCAUACCUGAGGAGGGGUGAGGGUUACAAGCCUAUUUGUGGAGUCUGCCAAACACAAGGGCUGCAUGCCCAGGAUCAAUGCCCACAUAAGUUGAAGAAGACAGAGCAAAAUUCAAACCAAGGGCGAGGGAAGAAGGUGGUAGACUCCAAGGCAAUCUUCAUUCAGCCAGAGGAUCUGAUGGUAGCCACCCCGGAGCUGGAAGUACCAGUGUUAGCUGUGGAAACCAGAGGCCAACUGCAGCAAAGAGGCCGUGGCCUUUAUGUGGGUGAGGGUUUUGAGCCGCUUACCUCAAAUGAUCCAGAGCUGAUGGCGCACAAACUAAGGAAGGAGCUAAGAG
rnacentral:lncRNA from 1 species